CCGCUUGCCCUGAAAAUUAAGAUCUUCCUAUGGCAAUGGAUUCGCGGCUUCCUCCCAUCUGGGGUGGAGGUCCUUAAGCGUAAUGAACCUGGAGAUGGGAUUUGCCUCCUGUGCAGCAUGGUGGAGGAUGCUAACCACAUCUUCUUCUCUUGCUCCAUGGCCCAGUUUCUAUGGUCCUGUUUCCACGAGACUGUCAGUGGCCAGUAG
rnacentral:rRNA from 1 species